CAAAAAAAAAGCAACAUAGACGAGAGACUGCGCAAAGUAAAAUUUGGCGACUAAACCGAAAGCCUCGAUAUCAUCUAUAUUUAAUGACUACUUAAGUUGAGAAUAGUAUUCGAUUUUUUACACUUUUAAAGGAGGACGAAAUGUGACAUUAUGUUCAUUUUUCUUGUUUGUUAAACUCCAUAACCACCACCAUGCUCUUUUGUUUUAAAAUAACAUUGACAAAAAUCAUUUUCUAACGCAUAUUUGGAAAUCAUAAACACCAAUCUAUAAUUGCUUUAGUUUUUGAGAAGCAUAACUAAAUCAUCCUCUCAAAUACAAGGAUACUAUUUUGGACAGAAUGGAUGGAUAUUGACAGUUCAAAUCGUUGCGAUACUUUUUAUUCUUAUAAUAUGGAAUUACAAAUACCGUGAUUAGCCUUACUCCGCAUUAGGGUACUGAAAACAUCUAAACCCAUCCUACUCUAUCUUGCGGUGACUGCUUAUCUUUUGCAACCCACAUAUCGGUUUUCAUUGUGUAUCAUCCUCCUGGAUAUCCUUUGUAAUAGUUUAAUCGUAGUAGAUAAACAAGCAAUGAGUAAGAAAAAAAAUGUAGUACGACGAUGAUGUGUUUUCUCAAGAUGAUAACGGAUCUAGCUUCGCCAUCAAUAAGUAUGAGGCAAAGGAGUCCAUCUUUGAUGAAACAUCCAUUUGCCUGUUGUACAUUUUUGCAGGACAACCAGCCUGAGCACAAGAGACAUGGUGUACUAGACUUUGUGCGGAAUGUCUACUUCAAAACUCGCAUCUUUAUAUCUGAUAUAUAGAGAUAUAGAGAUAUAGAGAGAGGCUGAUGAUUUAUAAACACAAACGAUAAGACUUGUAACAUGAAGUUUAUCGAAAAAGUCAAUCUUUAAAUUCCUUUCUGAACCUCUCUGUUAUGUCAGUGCUUCGGUACCAUGCUUUUAGUGCGGUCAUUUAAAGGCAUAGCGAUGAUAGUUCUAAAGUUACUGUAUUGAUCAAUUGGAAGAACAUCCAAAUAAAAAAAAGCAUGCAAAAUGCUAGUAUUAUCAGUAACUGCAAAUAAAAAAAGAUAACAAAAAUUUACAGGAUCAUCGAGAAGAGUAGAUACUGAUAAUAUUGAGAUCCACAGCACUCAACAACAGUCUUGGAUUUAUUUAGCCAUUUGCUUAACUUACUGUCUCAACAAUAUUGUUGUUUGGCAUCGCCAUAAAUAUAUGACCUAGAAGUAAAAUUCGUGUUGUCGAAACAAUUCCAAUCGGUUCACUUUUCUCUUUCAAAAGUAUAUCGAAGUAGGAAUGAUGUACUCCCAACUGCGGAUGGAAAAAGUUCUUUAUCGAUUUUAAUAUCUGGUGUUGUGGAAAAAAACGAAAUACGAUCAAAAUUGAGAAAAUUAAGAAAGAAUAUGAAUAUGGUUUUACUUAUUUUACUACCCAUGAUGUCGUUGGUUAAAAACAUGAUGUUAAGGGUGAACCGCAGCAUAUUGGUCGUUUUUAAUUAAGGAAUUGAAUGACUUUCAAAGAUGCACAGUAAUCCUUCCUUAAUCACCAUUUUAGAUUUAUUAAUUUCAACAUACGCUCUCCAUGUACUUGGAAUCGAAUUGAGAACUUGUUAUGCCACAAAUGAAUAUCUUUUUAUUGAGUAACAUCGUUAAUAAAGCAAAUGCUUCACGGUAUUUUUUGAAAUCUUUGACAGUAUUUGUUCAGCUGGGAUGGAUGAUAAUUUGACGAGGCACAUUCCUUAUACGCAAACGAAAGAUACAA